AAAAACUUCGUUUAUCUAAUCCAUAUGGUUAAAGACGAACACGUAGGUUAAAGACAAUACAGCAAUGAAGCAGCAAUCUGACAACAAAACUCAAUAUUUUAAUUAGUUUGAGACCAUCUAAAAUUAAACAUGCGGCAUCUUUAUGGCAAACUAGUGUUAACUUCUGCGUGAUUUGGUCUCAUUGGCAAUUAUAUCACAUUUUCUUAUUUUUAUAUUGUCUAUACAGUUUAUCAAUAUCUAAAUUGUCUCAAGUCUAGGCAACUUGUUAUGUUUUGAUAACCACAAACCAUAUGUCUUCAACAAUUAACUCUUUUAAAGCAUUCAAACUUCUAAGAUAUCAAAAUAACAAAAUUAAAUAGGCAUGUCGGUGCUGAUCGGUGUGAGCCAAGGAUUCGUGUUGAAGACCAUGCUUUAACCUAUAAUGGUUUACUUUUACAAAUUGUGACUUGCAUGGAGAGUUGUUUCAUUGGCAUUCAUACCACCUUUUUAUAUCUAUUUAAAGAUUUUGCGAUAACAAAAAGCAUAACUGUGGUUAGCAUUAUCUAAUAAACAAAUUGACAACG
rnacentral:lncRNA from 1 species